UACGAAGGGGGCUAGCGUUGCUCGGAAUUACUGGGCGUAAAGGGCGCGUAGGCGGCUUGGCAAGUGGAAGGUGAAAUCCCUCGGCUUAACCGAGGAACUGCCCUCCAAACUGCUUCGCUUGAGACCGGGAGAGGUGAGUGGAAUUCCCAGUGUAGCGGUGAAAUGCGUAGAUAUUGGGAGGAACACCAGUGGCGAAGGCAAUGUUCUGGCUCGUUUCUGACGCUCAGGUGCGAAAGCCAGGGGAGCGAACGGG
rnacentral:rRNA from 1 species